AAUUACUUCAUACAUCAGACCGAUCAGGGAAUACGCGCAGAAACGGUGAGGCGUGUCGUCAACCACCCCCAAAGUCUCGCCAUCAGCAGACAUACACAAAGGUGCUGAAUUGCCAUGCAUACCAAGCCCAGCCACGCUAAUAGGUGCCAUCACAAACAAACAUCUUGAACACACGUACAUAUAGUCACUGCUGCAUCGCUGCUGGGCAGAUCCAUCUGCAUCCUCUCAUUUUCUUGUAAUAGAACAAAGCGUGUGGAACAUGUCGUUCCCCGCCGGCCAAUCUACAUCGACGUACCCGCGGAUCGAGCCCGACUGGAGGUGGGCAGGAAAGGCAUUCGAGUGUCCAGAAGAGGCAAAUUGGCCCCAGCUCAGCAAGGACCGUCCCUAUCUAUUACACACAAAAAUACUGACGUCAAUACCAAGGUCGUAUAAUCGUCAAGGACUUCACAAUAAUCCGUUGUUUGUGUCAACAGAUACCGGUUUCUGCUGGCAAAACAAGCAGCUUAUCGAGGAACACAGCUGGCGUAUUGCAAGCAAGACGAACAACGCACAAGCAAUUUGGCGCUUAAAUUGAUUCAUUUGUGUCCACUGGGACCGUACGAUGCGAGCUCGUGAAGCUUAUAACCAUCCCAGCAGGCGCAUACGAAUGAAACCCGAAGAAUAAUAUAAACUGCUAUCAAUAAUGCGAGCUUGCGUUAAGUAAGCUGGGUUAGUUGCGCGUAAGGCCCAAUGCGUGACUGUUAGUCUAACUGUCUCGCAACGGCUCG
rnacentral:lncRNA from 1 species